GUGAGGAAUAUUGGUCAAUGGACGAGAGUCUGAACCAGCCAAGUAGCGUGAAGGAUGACUGCCCUAUGGGUUGUAAACUUCUUUUAUAAGGGAAUAAAGUGAGGGACGUGUCCCUUUUUGUAUGUACCUUAUGAAUAAGGAUCGGCUAACUCCGUGCCAGCAGCCGCGGUAAUACGGAGGAUCCAAGCGUUAUCCGGAUUUAUUGGGUUUAAAGGGAGCGUAGGUUGACAUAUAAGUCAGCUGUGAAAGUUUACGGCUCAACCGUGAAAUUGCAGUUGAUACUGUAUGUCUUGAGUGUACAAGAGGUGGGCGGAAUUCGUGGUGUAGCGGUGAAAUGCUUAGAUAUCACGAAGAACUCCAAUUGCGAACGCAGCUCACUGGGGUACAACUGACUCUGAGGCUCGAAAGUGUGGGUAUCAAACAGGAUUAGAUACCCCUGUAGUCC
rnacentral:rRNA from 1 species